rnacentral:rRNA from 1 species
CCCUUAGAUGUUCUGGGCCGCACGCGCGCUACAAUGGCAGACUCAGCGAGUUACCUCUGUCGAAAGGCACAGGGAAUCUUUACAGUAUCUGCCGUGAUGGGGAUAGACCCUUGUAAUUUUUGGUCUUCAACGAGGAAUUCCUAGUAAACGCAAGUCAUUAACUUGCAUUGAUUACGUCCCUGCCCUUUGUACACACCGCCCGUCGCUACUACCGAUUGGAUGGCUUAGUGAGACCCUCGGACCGAUAGGCUGUCGCCGCGGCAACGUGGCGACCGGCCCGUCGGGAAGAAGGUCAAACUUGACUGUCUAGAGGAAGUAAAAGUCGUAACA